CUAAUACAUGCAAGUCGAGCGAACUGAUUAGAAGCUUGCUUCUAUGACGUUAGCGGCGGACGGGUGAGUAACACGUGGGCAACCUGCCUGUAAGACUGGGAUAACUUCGGGAAACCGAAGCUAAUACCGGAUAGGAUCUUCUCCUUCAUGGGAGAUGAUUGAAAGAUGGUUUCGGCUAUCACUUACAGAUGGGCCCGCGGUGCAUUAGCUAGUUGGUGAGGUAACGGCUCACCAAGGCAACGAUGCAUAGCCGACCUGAGAGGGUGAUCGGCCACACUGGGACUGAGACACGGCCCAGACUCCUACGGGAGGCAGCAGUAGGGAAUCUUCCGCAAUGGACGAAAGUCUGACGGAGCAACGCCGCGUGAGUGAUGAAGGCUUUCGGGUCGUAAAACUCUGUUGUUAGGGAAGAACAAGUACGAGAGUAACUGCUCGUACCUUGACGGUACCUAACCAGAAAGCCACGGCUAACUACGUGCCAGCAGCCGCGGUAAUACGUAGGUGGCAAGCGUUAUCCGGAAUUAUUGGGCGUAAAGCGCGCGCAGGCGGUUUCUUAAGUCUGAUGUGAAAGCCCACGGCUCAACCGUGGAGGGUCAUUGGAAACUGGGGAACUUGAGUGCAGAAGAGAAAAGCGGAAUUCCACGUGUAGCGGUGAAAUGCGUAGAGAUGUGGAGGAACACCAGUGGCGAAGGCGGCUUUUUGGUCUGUAACUGACGCUGAGGCGCGAAAGCGUGGGGAGCAAACAGGAUUAG
rnacentral:rRNA from 2 species